AUGAAAGCAAAAAGCAAGUUAUCGACACCAGAUGACUAUGAUCGAGUGAUAUGUGCAGAGAUACCGGACAAAGAGAAACACCCCGUUCUACAUGAACUGGUCGUCAAACACAUGCUGCAUGGACCAUGUGGCGAGUUGAAAAAAAGUUGCCCUUGCAUGAUUGAUGGUCAGUGUCGGUUUCAUUACCCGCGAGAUUUUUGUGAUGCCACACAACAAGGGAAAGACUCAUAUCCCAUCUAUAGGCAGAGGAACGAUGGGCGUCGAAUUAGGAUCAGAGGAGCAGAUUUGGACAAUAGGUGGGUGGUCCCUUACAACCCUUCACUACUUAUGCGAUACAACUGCCACAUUAAUGUGGAAACAUGCUCGAGCAUCAAGGCAGUCAAGUACUUGUUCAAGUACAUCUACAAAGGUCAUGAUCGUACAUCCUUUGCAUUCGAGCAGGAUAUCAUCAAUGAUGGUGGAAUCAUCAAUGAAAUCCGACAAUAUAGGGAUGCAUGA
rnacentral:rRNA from 1 species